rnacentral:rRNA from 1 species
GACGAACGCUGGCGGCGUGCUUAACACAUGCAAGUCGAACGGAAAGGCCCUGCUUGCAGGGUACUCGAGUGGCGAACGGGUGAGUAACACGUGGGUGAUCUGCCCUGCACUUCGGGUUAAGCCUGGGAAACUGGGCCUAAUACCGGAUAGGAGCCAUUUUUAGUGUGAUGGUUGGAAAGUUUUUUCGGUGUAGGAUGAGCUCGCUGCCUAUCAGCUUGUUGGGGGGGUAAUGGCCUACCAAGGCGGCGACGGGUAGCCGGCCUGAGAGGGUGGACGGCCACAUUGGGACUGAGAUACGGCCCAGACACCGACGGGAGGCAGCAGUGGGGAAUAUUGCACAAUGGGCGCAAGCCUGAUGCAGCGACGCCGCGUGGGGGAUGACGGCCUUCGGGUUGUAAACUCCUUUCGCUAGGGACGAAGCUUUUUGUGACGGUACCUAGAUAAGAAGCACCGGCUAACUACGUG